GCUUUAAUAGUUUAACAAAAAUAUCGGUCUUGUAAGCCGAAGAUAAAAAUAAUUUUUUUAAAGCU
rnacentral:tRNA from 1 species